rnacentral:lncRNA from 1 species
CUACCAUGAUCAUAUGCCGCAAAAGAUCUAUCAAACUUAGCAAGCACGCUUCGGAGCUUAAGGAAAAUUGUAUCAAAAUCAUUGUUGUUCUAUUCUGUGGCUCGGAGAAUAAACUUUCUAUCAACGGUACCUCAUUAAAAAGUUUUAUUAAUGCACAGCCACUGGCUCCUCAGUUUACCAAAAAAAAAUAAAAAUAAAGAAAAGUUAACCGAAGCUUAAUA